AGUGAACGCUGGCGGUAGGCCUAACACAUGCAAGUCGAACGGCAGCACAGUAAGAGCUUGCUCUUACGGGUGGCGAGUGGCGGACGGGUGAGGAAUACAUCGGAAUCUACUUUUUCGUGGGGGAUAACGUAGGGAAACUUACGCUAAUACCGCAUACGACCUACGGGUGAAAGCAGGGGAUCUUCGGACCUUGCGCGAUUGAAUGAGCCGAUGUCGGAUUAGCUAGUUGGCGGGGUAAAGUCCCACCAAGGCGACGAUCCGUAGCUGGUCUGGGAGGAUGAUCAGCCACACUGGAACUGAGACACGGUCCAGACUCCUACGGGAGGCAGCAGUGGGGAAUAUUGGACAAUGGGCGCAAGCCUGAUCCAGCCAUACCGCGUGGGUGAAGAAGGCCUUCGGGUUGUAAAGCCCUUUUGUUGGGAAAGAAAAGCAGCAGGUUAAUACCCCGCUGUUCUGACGGUACCCAAAGAAUAAGCACCGGCUAACUUCGUG
rnacentral:rRNA from 1 species